GACGAACGCUGGCGGCGUGCUUAACACAUGCAAGUCGAACGAUGAUCUCCCGCUUGCGGGGGUGAUUAGUGGCGAACGGGUGAGUAAUACGUGAGUAACCUGCCCUUGACUCUGGGAUAAGCCUGGGAAACCGGGUCUAAUACUGGAUACUACUUCCUGCCGCAUGGUGGGGGGUGGAAAGGGUUUUACUGGUUUUGGAUGGGCUCACGGCCUAUCAGCUUGUUGGUGGAGUAAUGGCUCACCAAGGCGACGACGGGUAGCCGGCCUGAGAGGGUGACCGGCCACACUGGGACUGAGACACGGCCCAGACUCCUACGGGAGGCAGCAGUGGGGAAUAUUGCACAAUGGGCGGAAGCCUGAUGCAGCGACGCCGCGUGAGGGAUGACGGCCUUCGGGAUGUAAACCUCUUUCAGCAGGGAAGAAGCCACAAGUGACGGUACCUGCAGAAGAAGCGCCGGCUAACUACGUG
rnacentral:rRNA from 1 species